rnacentral:rRNA from 1 species
AUUGAACGCUGGCGGCAUGCCUUACACAUGCAAGUCGAACGGCAGCGGGGGAGAAGCUUGCUUUUCCUGCCGGCGAGUGGCGAACGGGUGAGUAAUACAUCGGAACGUGCCCGGUAGUGGGGGAUAACUAGUCGAAAGAUUAGCUAAUACCGCAUACGACCUGAGGGUGAAAGUGGGGGACCGCAAGGCCUCAUGCUAUAGGAGCGGCCGAUGUCUGAUUAGCUAGUUGGUGGGGUAAAGGCCUACCAAGGCGACGAUCAGUAGCUGGCCUGAGAGGACGAUCAGCCACACUGGGACUGAGACACGGCCCAGACUCCUACGGGAGGCAGCAGUGGGGAAUUUUGGACAAUGGGCGAAAGCCUGAUCCAGCAAUGCCGCGUGUGUGAAGAAGGCCUUCGGGUUGUAAAGCACUUUUGUCCGGAAAGAAAUGGCUCUGGUUAAUACCUGGGGUCGAUGACGGUACCGGAAGAAUAAGGACCGGCUAACUACGUGCCAGCCGCCGCAGUAA